GGACAUGAGGACAAUUUGGCUGUGAAAUCUGUCACCCCAAUGAUUGCCAGGGUUGACUUGGUGUAUCUGGCUGGUUAGCUGGGAGUUCCCUUCCUCCCUCAUUGCUCCAUGUGUGUCCCUCCCCAAGUCGCACACUCCUUGGAAGAGGACCACCAUUCACCAUUCCCAAUGAAGGAGGACCAUUUCUUAGUAGAGUGUACGAGUAGCUGCAUUUCCCCACUGGAGCUUCCAAACAAGCUCUCAAGAAGUUAAUGUGGGUUUUCUUCUUCUAUUUGCCCAAACUUACAAAAGUACUAAUAAGGUUUUACAUUU
rnacentral:snRNA from 1 species